GGGUUUUGUUUUGUUUUUCCCGAAGUGGCUUUCCAUUGCCUACUUUCUAGGACUGAGACAGAGUGAUUGGCCCAAGGUCACCCAGCUGGCUUCAUACUCAAGGUAGGACUAGAACUCACAGUCUCUGGUUUCUAGGGUGAUGCUUUAACCCAGGGACCGUACUUAUAUAGCCCAUUUUGUUUUCUUACACCAUUUUAAAUUAUUAAGCAUUACACCAUCUGAAAAGUUUAACCAAGUGUCAUGUUAAUAAAAUAUGGGACAUUUACAUAAAUGACAACAUUAAUGUACAGUCAAUAUAGCAGACAUUAUCACAAUACAACAGAUUUUUGUACAGGUAGCUAAAUCAGCUAUUUGAAAAUUAUUUUCCAAAAUGACAAACUUUGGGGUAUUUCCUAACUACUUCAUGAGAAAUCUUACAUUUUUCCGUGAUCUGGAGGAUGUGAGGAGCUUGUGUUUGUUUUGCGGAUCCAGAUUUGAAAAAAAUAAAAGAUUUAUAGCUUAUCAUUUUUAAUAUGUAGGGCUAUUCUGUAAGUAAGAGUUGAAAUGUGUAGGUAAUUCAUACAGUUCUCAUGUUUUGAUUCCUCUCCAUCUAUCUCACUUCUUUCUUGAUCCAUUUAUAAAUAUUUUAGGUAUUGCCUUUGUACCAUGUGACUUACAUGCAUUAUGGAAACGUACCGAACUCUUUAGGCACAGAUUGUAACUGAUAAAGGAGCAAGAUACCCGAGAAAAAUAAUUUUUCCUCAGUUAGUUUACCCAACCCCGCUGGCUCAGUCACAAUUAUGGCUUGUGUUAUUGCUGAACUGCUUCAAUCUUUAUAUCCUUAAACCAAAUGUAAUAUUUGUAAAUGCGGUUCAUUCUGUAUUGAAUGCUUUUCUCUCUGUUAAAAAUGAAGAUUUUUACGGUGAGGACAUUAAACUCCGAAAUAGAUAAUUAUGGGGAAAGCCUCUCUUGCUUCUGAAACAUCUAUGUAUCUAUUUACACGAUUUCCAUUACUCUUCCAUUAUCUUCCCU